UAAUUAUUUGACUUUUGAAAAAAUGUCAUUGCAAAACGCCAUUUAGCAUUCUUAAAUUUAAAUAUGAUUAACCUGUACAAAAAUCACGUAAAUUAAUAUUUUUAUAUAUAUCUAUAAAGGAAGAAUCAUCACUAAAGCUGAAUUCAUCAGUUCGUCAGCUUUUUUUGUUAAAGCAACUUCAACUUUAACAAAAAAAUAAUCAGCUUUUUUCAGACGAGUCAAUGAACAAUCAAGAGAAAAAAUAGUUCGACUUUAAAUGGCUCAACUCGAAAACGACGAAUCCAACUUUAAUCAGCUUCAUCUGCAUUUUCAGUCAAAUCAGAUUCGCCAUUUUCAGUCAAAUUUCAAUACUCUUGCACUUCACUCAUUUUCACAAUUACUUUUUUGGAGAUGCAUAAAUAACAUAAUAAUAGCCACAAUUUUGACAUAUAUGACAUUCUAAUUAAAAUUAUGCCUUUUGGACCUGAUCUUCUAUAUCACAAUUUUACUGGGAAGGAAGUGAAUAACUAUCAUAUACAUACUUGUAUAAUGUAAUUUUCGAGUGAGAAGAAUUAAUCUAUUGCCUACCUUUUUUUUUUAAGUUGUAUACAAAAGUUUUUCACUUUUUUUUAAAGUGAAGCGCUAAGUCGAUAAUGUGAGAAAAAAUGCAAAAAUGCAAUAUAAAAUACUUACAAUUCUGAUUUGAAAGUGAAUAAAAAGUGAGUAAAAAAGCGAGAUACCCUGAUCAAGCUGUUUUGCCUAACUUGCAGGGUAGAGUUUUUAAAUUGAUGACAGAUAUCACAUGAUCAUUAUGUGACAUUUUGAAAAAAAGGCCAAUGUAAUAGUCACUGUCUUGGUAAGUACAAAGCCACCGCAUUAAAAAAAUUUACCGGACUGCUUCUAUCGGAUCAACUUCGAUAAUGUUAGUAUAUUUUUUCUCAAUUUAUUUUUUACAUGGAUAAGUGUAUACAAUUAUUUUAAAAAUAUACGUUUUAUAAUAUGGAAAACUUAUAAGGCUUUAUCAUAAAGUUUCACGUUUAAAAUUUGAUUUAAGAAAAAAAAUAUUCGCCAACAUCUAACCAAAACUAUUUUGUUUUCCGGUCAAUAAUUUAAUGUAAUACACUUAAGCAAUAAUAUACACAAAUAUCAUGUUAGAUUUGAUUGGUAGUAUGUUUAAAAUAAAAAUAUGUAUAUGUAUAUAGAUGGUUAAAAAAUAAUAUUUUUUUAUUAAAAAAAUAACUCUCAUAAAUUUCUAGAAUAUUCAUAUUUCCUAACAAUAUUUUGAAAUCGUUUCUGGCAAUAGUUUUUACUACAUGUAAAACAAUACUUUUUACUAAAUAAAGACAAAAAAGUAACAUGUUUUAUUUUGGCUUCAAAAAUAUUAUUUGUCAGCUAUUCAUGUAUUAUUAGAUCCAUGUAUAGAACCUUGUUUAAAAAACGUUUCCAUGAAGAAAACAUCUUAUGCUGAAAUUUUAUAUUGCUGAAGACUCGCAAUUAUCAUCAAAGUAUAUCUAUAAUAAGUAGUUCGACUCGUUCCAUUUCGUUAGUUUUCGUUUGCAUUUUGCUUCCAAAUUCUUAAAAAGUUGUGUGGGCAAGAAAGAAAUAAAAUAUUGUAAACAAAAGAGUGUAUGAAAAACAUUGAACUGAAAUAAAAUUAAAUUAAGGUAGGAAAAAAAUUUGUUAUUUUGUAUUUUGAUAAUACCAAAAUUUAUUUUUCAUUUUAUUAAAGUUAGGUUAAAAAUUCGAAUCUAUGAAAGCAAAAGAGUUUGAAAUUUCAUGUAUGAAUGCAUUUACCUGGUAAAGUAGAUACACAGUAUCAGGCAGUGACAUAGAAAUAAAGUAAUUUAUAAAGAAAAGACAGGUGUAUGCAUACUGAUUAAUAUUUUAUGCAAUAUUAUCAUUACCGAUUAUCAAUAUUGAAAUAAAAAUUAAAAAUUUAAAGAUAAUUUAUUUAUUUUAUUUAUUAAUAAUUAUUAAUUACAAAAGCUUAACACUAAAAGUUUAAAAUAUUUUCAAAAGUACAUAUUUACCUCUCCACAUCUUUUGGCAACAAGUGAAAUUUUCACAAAAUUACAUCGAAAACGCUUCAAAUAAUUUUUACCCAUUAUUAUAAAAUAAAUAUUUUUUUUCACAACUAUUUAAACAUUUUAUUAAUGUUAUACGUCUUUUUAAAAUUUAUUUUUAUAAUUUUUCAAAAUUAUAUUAUAUAAAUUAUAAUAAUUUUUUUAAACACUUUUUUUAGGCUUCGCUUUUGUAAUAUGAAUACACCUUUUUUACCACCUUGUACUGGAAUAAGUUACAAAAUUAAAACUCCCACUUUUAAAAUUCUUAAAAUUUUUUCCUAUACUUUAUAUAGGGCAAAAUAAAUAACUCUCCCGCUUUUAAAAAUACAUUUUAAAAAAACAGGUGGACAUCUAUUGCGUACUCUUUCCCUCUCUCAAAAAUUCUUAUGUGUAAAAAAAUGAAAAUAAGAAGGUAUAUUGCUUAACUCUUUUAGCUAAUGGAAUUUUUUGUAUACAAAUAUUGAUGAGUGUUUGCAUUAGUGUGAUGUAAACGGAGAGUCGAACUACUUAUUAAUAGAUAUACUCGUAGUUUGGUUAUCAUUUUCAAUGUAAAUUGUAAAGUUUUAUAAUCUUUUUUAUGUACCCGCGAAGUUUUGAAAGCGGGUAAAAUGAAUGAUAAAAAAGAUCUACAUAUCUACACAUGUAAAUUUAUUGAAAAUUGUUUUGAAAAUGAUUCGAUAAAAUCGUACAAAAAGUCUUUCCAAAGCUAAAAAAUCUAAAAAAUAUGUACACUAGUUAAUUUAUAAUUAUAAAAAUAAAUUUAUAUUAAUAACAUAUGUUAUUAAAAAUAAAUAUACCCUUGCAAUAUGUUGUAUAUUCC